rnacentral:rRNA from 1 species
GACGAACGCUGGCGGCGUGCUUAACACAUGCAAGUCGAACGGAAAGGCCCCUUCGGGGGUACUCGAGUGGCGAACAGGUGAGUAACACGUGAGUAACCUGCCCUUGACUUCGGGAUAACUUCAGGAAACUGGGGCUAAUACCGGAUAGGAAUCCUUGCUGCAUGGUGGGGGUUGGAAAGCUUCGGCGGUUUUGGAUGGACUCGCGGCUUAUCAGCUUGUUGGUGGGGUAGUGGCUUACCAAGGCUUUGACGGGUAGCCGGCCUGAGAGGGCGACUGGCCACAUUGGGACUGAGAUACGGCCCAGACUCCUACGGGAGGCAGCAGUGGGGAAUAUUGCACAAUGGGCGGAAGCCUGAUGCAGCAACGCCGCGUGCGGGAUGACGGCCUUCGGGUUGUAAACCGCUUUCAGCAGGGGCGAAGCUUGUGGUGACGGUACCUGCAGAAGAAGCACCGGCUAACUACGUG